rnacentral:rRNA from 1 species
AUGGAAUCCGCCGCCUGGCGUGAGUUACUUGACUGUGUUGCUCUCCAUGAACCCUUCGUGGAUGGUGGUCCUGACCUAGUGCGAUGGCGCCUUGAGCCUUCGGGCCAAUUCUCCACCAAGUCGCUCUACCUGGCCAUCGCUCCAUCUGCCGCCCCACUCCCUCUUUCGAUGGUUUGGUCCAUCCGCCUGCCUCUGAAGAUCCGCAUCUUCAUGUGGCAAUGGAUUCGUGGUCGGAUCCCGUCCGGGUUGGAGGUUCGCAAGCGCAAUGGCCCGGGCACUGGCUUAUGCCCGCUCUGUGGGGUCCCCGAAGACUUGAACCACAUUUUCUUCUCCUGCGUUUCCGCCCAGUUCCUUUGGAGCUGUUUUCGCGAAGUGGUCGGUGGAGAUUGGUGCCACACCAACUUCCCGGACUUAUUUGCCGAACUCCAGUUGUCCCCGCGACUUCUCGCCACAUUAGGUGGCUUGAGAUUGGGGUCCUCGCCUGGACCCUCUGGACUGUCCGCAAUAAGCUCGUGA